GAUGAACGCUGGCGGCGUGCCUAAUACAUGCAAGUCGAGCGAACAGACAAGGAGCUUGCUCCUUUGACGUUAGCGGCGGACGGGUGAGUAACACGUGGGUAACCUACCUAUAAGACUGGGAUAACUUCGGGAAACCGGAGCUAAUACCGGAUAAUAUUUCGAACCGCAUGGUUCGAUAGUGAAAGAUGGUUUUGCUAUCACUUAUAGAUGGACCCGCGCCGUAUUAGCUAGUUGGUAAGGUAACGGCUUACCAAGGCGACGAUACGUAGCCGACCUGAGAGGGUGAUCGGCCACACUGGAACUGAGACACGGUCCAGACUCCUACGGGAGGCAGCAGUAGGGAAUCUUCCGCAAUGGGCGAAAGCCUGACGGAGCAACGCCGCGUGAGUGAUGAAGGUUUUCGGAUCGUAAAACUCUGUUAUUAGGGAAGAACAUACGUGUAAGUAACUAUGCACGUCUUGACGGUACCUAAUCAGAAAGCCACGGCUAACUACGUGCCAGCAGCCGCGGUAAUACGUAGGUGGCAAGCGUUAUCCGGAAUUAUUGGGCGUAAAGCGCGCGUAGGCGGUUUUUUAAGUCUGAUGUGAAAGCCCACGGCUCAACCGUGGAGGGUCAUUGGAAACUGGAAAACUUGAGUGCAGAAGAGGAAAGUGGAAUUCCAUGUGUAGCGGUGAAAUGCGCAGAGAUAUGGAGGAACACCAGUGGCGAAGGCGACUUUCUGGUCUGUAACUGACGCUGAUGUGCGAAAGCGUGGGGAUCAAACAGGAUUAGAUACCCUGGUAGUCCACGCCGUAAACGAUGAGUGCUAAGUGUUAGGGGGUUUCCGCCCCUUAGUGCUGCAGCUAACGCAUUAAGCACUCCGCCUGGGGAGUACGACCGCAAGGUUGAAACUCAAAGGAAUUGACGGGGACCCGCACAAGCGGUGGAGCAUGUGGUUUAAUUCGAAGCAACGCGAAGAACCUUACCAAAUCUUGACAUCCUUUGACAACUCUAGAGAUAGAGCCUUCCCCUUCGGGGGACAAAGUGACAGGUGGUGCAUGGUUGUCGUCAGCUCGUGUCGUGAGAUGUUGGGUUAAGUCCCGCAACGAGCGCAACCCUUAAGCUUAGUUGCCAUCAUUAAGUUGGGCACUCUAAGUUGACUGCCGGUGACAAACCGGAGGAAGGUGGGGAUGACGUCAAAUCAUCAUGCCCCUUAUGAUUUGGGCUACACACGUGCUACAAUGGACAAUACAAAGGGCAGCGAAACCGCGAGGUCAAGCAAAUCCCAUAAAGUUGUUCUCAGUUCGGAUUGUAGUCUGCAACUCGACUACAUGAAGCUGGAAUCGCUAGUAAUCGUAGAUCAGCAUGCUACGGUGAAUACGUUCCCGGGUCU
rnacentral:rRNA from 1 species